CGGGUGAGUAAUGUCUGGGAAACUGCCUGAUGGAGGGGGAUAACUGCUGGAAACGGUAGCUAAUACCGCAUAACGUCGCAAGACCAAAGAGGGGGACCUUCGGGCCUCUUGCCGUCGGAUGUGCCCAGAUGGGAUUAGCUAGUAGGUGAGGUAACGGCUCACCUAGGCGACGAUCCCUAGCUGGUCUGAGAGGAUGGCCAGCCACACUGGAACUGAGACACGGUCCAG
rnacentral:rRNA from 1 species